UGAGAGACAGCUUAGUGGUUUGAGCGUUGGACUGUGAUUCUGUAGACCACGGUUCAAAUCCCUGCUCAG